ACAGUGGGAUAUGAUGAGACGCUU
rnacentral:miRNA from 1 species